rnacentral:rRNA from 1 species
GGGCCUGCUCGGUGAUUAAUAUUUAACAGCUGCGGUAUUAUAACUGUACUAAGGUAGCAUAAUAAUUUGCCUUAUAAAUUGAGGCUAGAAUGAAUGGUUUGACGAAAAUUAUACUGUCUCUAGUUUAUUUAUUAGAAUUUAAUUUUUAUAGUGAGAAAGCUCGGAUAAUUUAAAGGGACGAAAAGACCCUAUUGAGCUUUAUAUUAUAUUUAUGAAUAUUUAUUUGUUUAUUUAAUAUAAUUUUGGUUGGGGUGAUCAAGGAAUAAAAAUUAGUUUAUAUUAACUUCCUUAAUUGUUUUUAUAUAUAUAUGAAUAAACCAAAUUUUUUGCUUAGAAGAUAAGUUACCAUAGGGAUAACAGCGUAAUUUUUUUUGAAAGUUCAUAUUG